rnacentral:rRNA from 1 species
GAUUGAACUGAAGAGUUUGAUCCUGGCUCAGAUUGAACGCUGGCGGCAUGCCUUACACAUGCAAGUCGAACGGCAGCACGGGAGCAAUCCUGGUGGCGAGUGGCGAACGGGUGAGUAAUACAUC